rnacentral:pre_miRNA from 1 species
AAUGCCGGGAGGUAUUGGCGUGCCUCAAUCCGAAGGCGUGGCUGACUGGCGCGGCAGCCAUGUUCUUGGAUUGAGCCGCGUCAAUAUCUCCCCUUGCUUG